rnacentral:rRNA from 1 species
CAAGUCGAACGAGAAUCUGGAGGUUCAAGUUUUCGGACAAGAACUUUCGGAGGAAAGUGGGCGGAAGGGUGAGUACAACAUGGAUAAUCUACCUUCAAGUUGGGUAUAGCUUCCCGAAAGGGGAGAUAAUCCCGAAUGUGGUGAUCCGGCGCCUGUCGGAGAAUCCAAAGGUGGGGACCGCAAGGCCUGCCGCUUGAAGAUGAGUCCGUGCACUAUCAGCUAGUUGGUGAGGUAAUGGCUCACCAAGGCGAUGACGGUUAGCUGGUCUGAGAGGAUGGUCAGCCACACUGGGACUGAGAUACUGCCCAGACUCCUACGGGAGGCUGCAGUCGAGAAUCAUUCGCAAUGGGCGCAAGCCUGACGGUGCGACGUCGCGUGGAGGAUGAAGGUCUUCGGAUUGUAAACUCCUGUCAUGUGGGAUAAAUGGCCAGGGCAUGAAUAGUGCCUUGGAAUGAUAGUACCACAGGAGGAAGGGACGGCUAACUCUGUG